UGUCAUUUUCUAUCAUUUCCGCAGAUUUCUCCAGAAACUGAGCGUUCGAGAGAGGAAAUAAUUCGUAGGGAAUUGUGGGAGCUUCAAAUUUUCCUGCUUUUGCUCGCUUGAAUCAUCUCCGGCUACCUGAUCCAUUCGUUAGCAUGGCGAGAGGAAGGUGGAGAAGUUCCAAAAGAACAUAACAAAGAGAGGAGCUGUGCCUGAGACAACCACAAAGAAGGGGAAUGAUUAUCCCGUCGCCCUGUACUGCUCGGGUUCUUCAUUUUCGUAGUCAUUGGAUCAUCUCUCUUCAGCUACCAGCGGAGGCAUGGCGUAAGUCUGCAAAAGCAAUGUUAAGAAGUUGCAGAGACUGGUCUUGUAAUGCCCUCCUUUUCUGUUAGUUUUGCAGGGAACUGAUGAUACAUUUAUGCUUGAACAAGAUGGACUAAAAUGUAUAAGCAUCUCAUGUUAUUAUUAGAGCAAUUCAUCGGCCGAACUUAGUUGGAAAAACU